rnacentral:rRNA from 1 species
AUUGAACGCUGGCGGCAGGCUUAACACAUGCAAGUCGAACGGUAACAUGAGUGCUUGCACUUGAUGACGAGUGGCGGACGGGUGAGUAAAGUAUGGGGAUCUGCCGAAUGGAGGGGGACAACAGUUGGAAACGACUGCUAAUACCGCAUAAAGUUGAGAGACCAAAGCAUGGGACUUUCGGGCCAUGCGCCAUUCGAUGAACCCAUAUGGGAUUAGCUAGUUGGUAGGGUAAUGGCUUACCAAGGCGACGAUCUCUAGCUGGUCUGAGAGGAUGACCAGCCACACUGGAACUGAGACACGGUCCAGACUCCUACGGGAGGCAGCAGUGGGGAAUAUUGCACAAUGGGGGGAACCCUGAUGCAGCCAUGCCGCGUGUAUGAAGAAGGCCUUCGGGUUGUAAAGUACUUUCGGUAACGAGGAAGGUGGUGUAUCUAAUAGGUGCAUCAAUUGACGUUAAUUACAGAAGAAGCACCGGCUAACUCCGUGCCAGCAGCCGCGGUAAUACGGAGGGUGCGAGCGUUAAUCGGAAUGACUGGGCGUAAAGGGCAUGUAGGCGGAUAAUUAAGUUAGGUGUGAAAGCCCUGGGCUCAACCUAGGAAUUGCACUUAAAACUGGUUAACUAGAGUAUUGUAGAGGAAGGUAGAAUUCCACGUGUAGCGGUGAAAUGCGUAGAGAUGUGGAGGAAUACCGGUGGCGAAGGCGGCCUUCUGGACAGAUACUGACGCUGAGAUGCGAAAGCGUGGGGAGCAAACAGGAUUAGAUACCCUGGUAGUCCACGCUGUAAACGAUGUCGAUUUGGAGUUUGUUGCCUAGAGUGAUGGGCUCCGAAGCUAACGCGAUAAAUCGACCGCCUGGGGAAUACGGCCGCAAGGUUAAAACUCAAAUGAAUUGACGGGGGCCCGCACAAGCGAUGGAGCAUGUGGUUUAAUUCCAAUGCACG